rnacentral:rRNA from 1 species
UACAGAGGGGGCGAGCGUUGUUCGGAAUUACUGGGCGUAAAGGGCGCGUAGGCGGCCUGCUAAGUCAUACGUGAAAUCCCUCGGCUCAACCGGGGAACUGCGUGUGAUACUGGCGGGCUUGAAUCCGGGAGAGGAAUGCGGAAUUCCAGGUGUAGCGGUGAAAUGCGUAGAUAUCUGGAGGAAUACCGGUGGCGAAGGCGGCAUCCUGGACCGGCAUUGACGCUGAGGAGCGAAAGCCAGGGGAGCAAACGGG